rnacentral:lncRNA from 1 species
GAAAGCCCCUCCUCCCUCGCAAGGAGGGUUCCUUAUCUCACCGCCUUGGCUCUCUUCCCCAACCCAUCCAGUCAUCCGAAACUACCCAAAAAAUAUCUCCGGGUAACUCAGUCUUUAUCAAAUCCCUCUCCCCAAAACCCCUCACCCCCAGAUGGGAGGGACCAUACACCGUCAUCCUUACCACCCCAUCAGCCAUAAAAAUUGCUGAAGUCCAAUCUUGGAUCCACCUGUCCCGGGUAAAAAAAAAAAAGCCCCCCACAAAUCUCCCUCACUAUAAAAAGCUGUUCCUACUGGCCCUCUAUCUAUCAAACUUACCAAGGUCUAGCAGCCACACCCCUUAUGUAUAGAGGUUCUACCUAACUAAAAACUAUACCAAGACCACCUUCAUCUGUAACACUCCCCCCUACAGAAGAAAAGAAAGAGAAGGGAAAGAAAAGAGAGAGGAAAGAAAGGAAAGAGAAAGGAAAGAAAAGAGAGAGAAAAAGAAGAGAGAAAAAAAGAAGAGGAGAGAGAAGAGCCACCUUCAGCCGCUCGCUCCUCCCCCACCCCCUCCGCACCUUUCACUCCGGAGGCCACGCCUCCCCUGACCUCUCCGGCAGCAGCCCAUGCCCCCACCCUCUCCACGCCUUUCGCUCCGGAGGCCACGCCUCCCCUGACCUCUCCAGCAACAGCCUAUACCCCCACCCCCUCCGCGCCUUUCGCUCCGGAGGCCACGCCUCCCCUGACCUCUCCGGCAGCAGCCCAUGCCCCCACCCUGUC